CWAMMGGSMGKCCUAUACAUGCAAGUCGAGCGGACUUGACGGAAGCUUGCUUCCGUUCAAGUUAGCGGCGGACGGGUGAGWAACACGUGGGUAACCUGCCUGUAAGACUGGGAUAACUCCGGGAAACCGGGGCUAAUACCGGAUAUUCUUUUUCUUCGCAUGAAGAAGAAUGGAAAGGCGGCUUUUAGCUGUCGCUUACAGAUGGACCCGCGGCGCAUUAGCUAGUUGGUGAGGUAACGGCUCACCAAGGCAACGAUGCGUAGCCGACCUGAGAGGGUGAUCGGCCACACUGGGACUGAGACACGGCCCAGACUCCUACGGGAGGCAGCAGUAGGGAAUCUUCCGCAAUGGACGAAAGUCUGACGGAGCAACGCCGCGUGAGUGAAGAAGGUUUUCGGAUCGUAAAGCUCUGUUGUCAGGGAAGAACAAGUACGGAAGUAACUGUCCGUACCUUGACGGUACCUGACCAGAAAGCCACGGCUAACUACGUGCCAGCAGCCGCGGUAAUACGUAGGUGGCAAGCGUUGUCCGGAAUUAUUGGGCGUAAAGCGCGCGCAGGCGGCUUCUUAAGUCUGAUGUGAAAGCCCACGGCUCAACCGUGGAGGGUCAUUGGAAACUGGGAGGCUUGAGUGCAGAAGAGGAGAGCGGAAUUCCACGUGUAGCGGUGAAAUGCGUAGAGAUGUGGAGGAACACCAGUGGCGAAGGCGGCUCUCUGGUCUGUAACUGACGCUGAGGCGCGAAAGCGUGGGGAGCGAACAGGAUUAGAUACCCUGGUAGUCCACGCCGUAAACGAUGAGUGCUAAGUGUUGGAGGGUUUCCGCCCUUCAGUGCUGCAGCUAACGCAUUAAGCACUCCGCCUGGGGGAGUACGGCCGCAAGGCUGAAACUCAAAGGAAUUGACGGGGGGGCCCGCACAAGCGGUGGGAGCAUGUGGGUUUAAAUUCGAAGCAACGCGAAGAACCCUUACCAGGUCUUGACAUCCCGCUGACCGGUCUGGAGACAGGGCCUUUCCCUUCGGGGACCAGCCGAUGAACAGGUGGUGCAUGUGUCGUCCAGCUCGUGAUCGUGAGAUUGUUGGGGGAUUAA
rnacentral:rRNA from 1 species